GAAAUGCGAUAAGUAAUGUGAAUUGCAGAAUUCAGUGAAUCAUCGAAUCUUUGAACGCACAUUGCGCCCGCCAGUAUUCUGGCGGGCAUGCCUGUCCGAGCGUCAUUUCAACCCUCAGAACCCCUUGCGGGAUCUGGCGUUGGGGAUUGGCAUCCAGCCAGCCCCGAAAUCUAGUGGCGGUCCCUCCGCGACCUCCCCUGUGCAGUAGCGAUACCUCGCAGCGGGACAGCGGUCUGACCACGCCGUAAAACCCCCAACUUCUCAAGGUUGACCUCGAAUCAGGUAGGAAUACCCGCUGAACUUAAGC
rnacentral:misc_RNA from 1 species